rnacentral:lncRNA from 1 species
UGAUAUUUUCCAUUAUUCCAGAUAAUACAAGCUGAGCAUCUAAUUGGAUCUAAUUAGAUAUGAGCACAUGCUCAAGAUGGAAGAUCUGUCGAAAAGUAUGAAUGACAUGAAAUUAAAAAAACCCAGCAAAAACUGGUGGCUUCCUUGGCGCAUCAACGGAAACCCUUAAAACUACAGAAGGUCUAAAGUCUACAAUGAUGGGGUGGCCCAUUCCUGGACCCCCCCAGGCAGUCAUGAGCUGUUGCAUAGGCCCCUCCUGAUCCAUUGACCUUGAUGAUGCACAACCCCAUCUAGACUGAAAAAUAUCAUUCACUCUCUCUCCCAUUUCAGAAAAAAUGGGCGUCAGUGUGCAUCUCAGAGGUUCUGCCAGCUUACCAGAAAAAAUGGGCGGCUUCCUCGGCGCGUCAAGGCGACAGUCAGUGUGCACCUCAGAGGUUCUGCCAGCUUGCCAGGUGAGCUUCAAACAGCCCAAGGCACCCUAGGAAACUGGUCAAAAAUCAAAUCCACCUUCUUUUUCUCUCUAUCUUUUUUUAAAGGACUUGUGUAGACUUAAGACCUUC